UAUUAGGACCCAAAUGACAGAAGGGCUCAGCUAUCGGCAGGACAGAUUAAAAAUGUGUGUUGCUUUUGGGGGCUAUUUACAUAAAAUGAGAAGGUCUGAUUAAUGACGAACUUUUUUCCCCAGCACUUAAUUGUAAAUUAAGAUUUGCUGAUGAUGACGGGCUAAUUUAAGCUACCAUGGAAAGAGGAAAGAAAUGGAAGCUGCCGACUGUAGGAAGCAGUACCUGUACUGCACAGGGUUGCAGUGACCUAACAUCAAGAAAUAAAAACUCUGGAAAACUAGCCCUUCGCAUAUAGAAGCGAAAGGACUAAACAAGUGAAAGAACUGAGGAAGGACGAUGGCGAACAUGGAAGAGCUCUAAGGAAACUGCCCUGUAGUGUGUGUUUGUGGAGCAGGGGGAUUAAUAUGAAACUGCACACCACGAUUCAUGCCGUCUCAAAACUAU
rnacentral:lncRNA from 1 species